rnacentral:rRNA from 1 species
UACGUAGGGGGCAAGCGUUGUUCGGAAUUACUGGGCGUAAAGGGCGCGUAGGCGGUCUUGUAAGUCUUGUGUGAAAUCCCUCGGCUUAACUGAGGAACUGCACGGGAUACUGCAUGACUUGAGAUCGGGAGAGGGAAGCGGAAUUCCGGGUGUAGCGGUGAAAUGCGUAGAUAUCCGGAGGAACACCGGUGGCGAAGGCGGCUUCCUGGACCGACACUGACGCUGAGGCGCGAAAGCUAGGGGAGCAAACGGG